CGUAGGGGGCUAGCGUUGUCCGGAUUCAUUGGGCGUAAAGCGCGUGUAGGCGGCCAGGUAGGUCCGAUGUGAAAACUGGAGGCUCAACCUCCAGCUGUCAUUGGAAACCAUCUGGCUAGAGUCCGGAAGAGGAGAGUGGAAUUCCUGGUGUAGCGGUGAAAUGCGCAGAUAUCAGGAAGAACACCGAUGGCGAAGGCAGCUCUCUGGGACGGUACUGACGCUGAGACGCGAAAGCGUGGGGAGCGAACAGGAUUAGAUACCCUGGUAGUCCACGCCGUAAACGAUGGGCGCUAGGUGUGGGCGGUGUCGACUCCGUCCGUGCCGAAGCUAACGCAUUAAGCGCCCCGCCUGGGGAGUACGGCCGCAAGGCUA
rnacentral:rRNA from 1 species